GGGAGGAGCAGGAAGUACAGGAGGUGCGGGAUCUGGGCUCUGACAAGGAAAAGGCUUUCUCCUGGGCGUCACUAUGCAUUCUCAACAGGACAACAUCACUCCUCACCCUUAGAGGCUGAAAUUUGGUUCUUGAGAGAAAAAUAAUUGACUUUUUUUUUUUUUUGACAAGGUCUGGCUCUGUUGCCCAGGCUGAAGUGCAGUGGCAUGAUCUUGGCUCACUGCGACCUCAAACUCCCAGUUCAAGUGAUUCUCCUGCUUCAGUCUUCCGAGUAGCUGCAACCAAAGACAUAUGACACCGUGCCCAGCUAAUUUUUGUAUUUUUUAUAGACACUGUGUCUGGCUGAUCUUGAACUCCUAGGCUCAAGUGAUCCUUCCGCAUCAGCCUCCUAAAGUGCUGGAAUUACAGGCGUGAGCCAUCGUGCCUGGCUUCUGACUUCUUAAUGUAUACAACACAGAUACGCACAGGACAUAAGCAGACAUACGGUAUCUCAAUGAUAUUAAAAUGUUACAUUCACAAGGAGGGCAAUUAGGAAAAUAUGUCUAGAGAGGCUCCUUAGCAGGAUGAUGACGAAAAGAAGGUUGAGAAACACCAGGUUACACUAAAAAUUGGGAGCCCCACCUUAAACUCCUGGCUUGCCCCAGUGUUCUCUGUUUCAAGUCUCCAGGCCUUUGCUUAUGCUGUUCCUUCUGCCAGAAUGCCUUUCCCUACACACUUCCUGAAUAACCCCCUAGAGGUGUUUUAAAACUCAGGUCACUCCUCGCUACCUGCAGGAAUGCUUCCCUGGCCUGCCUCAUUCAGGGGACAUCCCCUUGCACUGUAGCUCCAUAGCCCCAUGCAGUCACAAGAGCAUUCAUUCACUCACUCAUUCAUUCAUUCAUUUGCAAAUGAUUACUCAAUGUCUACCACGCCAUGCACCGUGCUAGACGCUAAGGAUGCAAUGGAGGAAAAACAAAACAAUGACAACACUAACAACAAAAAUACAGCCCUUGCCCUACCAGAGCUUCAGUAUGUAUGGAGGCAUAGAAAGAAAGCCAAGUUCAACAAUUGAACCAAUCACUACAGGCAGCCCUGGCCAUCCCGAUGUUCAUUAUCUGAUUCAAUAACUACUGGAUUUGGGUAUGUUUUUUGAAUAAACCUCACACUAUCCAGACUGCUGCUAUUCUAUCUGAAAAUCAGGGAUCAAAAAUAUUACCAUCCAGGCCGGGCACAAUGGCUCCUGCCUGUAAUCCCAGCACUUUGGGAGGCUGAGGCAGGUGGAUCACUUGAGUUCAAGACCAGUCUGGCCAACAUGGUGAAACCCUGUCUUACUAAAAAACAAAAAUUAGGCCAGGUGCAGUGGCUCACACCUGUAAUCCCAGCACUCUGGGAAGCCAAGGCGGGUAGAUCACUUGAGAUCAGGAGUUCGAGACCAGCCUGGCCAACAUGGUGAAACCCCAUCUCUACUGAAAAUACAAGCUGGAUGUGGUUGCUCAGGCCUAUAGUCCCAGCUACAUGCGAGGCUGAGGCAGGAGAAUAAUUUGAACCUGGGAGGCAGAGGCUGCAGUGAGCCAAGAUUGUAUCACUGCACUCCAGCCUGGGUGACAGAGCGAGACUCCAUCUUAAAAAAAAAAAAAAAAUUAGCCGGGCGUGGUGUCGGGCACCUGUAAUCCCAGCUACUCGGGAAGCUGAGGCAGGGGAAUCACUUGAACCUGGGAGGAAGAGGUUGCAGUGAGCCAAGAUUGUGCCACUGCACUUCCACCUGGGCAACAGAGUGAGACUCUGUCUCAAAAAAUAAUAAAUAAAUAAAUAAUAUUGGCAACCAAAAUUUGCUAUCAUAUCUCAGGAACCACAUAGAUU
rnacentral:lncRNA from 1 species